rnacentral:sRNA from 1 species
GGAAGGAUCAUUACUGAAUUGUCAAACGGGUUGUUGCUGGUCCUCAAAUGGGGACAUGUGCACGCUCUGUUUACACAUCCACUCACACCUGUGCACCCUCUGUAGUUCUGCGGUAUGGGGGACCCCGUCUUCCUUCUGUGGUUCUAUGUCUUUACACACACACUGUAAUAAAGUCUUAUGGAAUGUAUGCCGCGUCUAACGCAAUACAAUACAACUUUCAGCAACGGAUCUCUUGGCUCUCGCAUCGAUGAAGAACGCAGCGAAAUGCGAUAAGUAAUGUGAAUUGCAGAAUUCAGUGAAUCAUCGAAUCUUUGAACGCACCUUGCGCCCCUUGGCUAUUCCGAGGGGCAUGCCUGUUUGAGUAUCAUGAACACCUCAACUCUCAUGGUUUGCCAUGAUGAGCUUGGACCUUGGGGGUUUUGCUGGCCUGUGGUCGGCUCCUCUCAAAUGAAUCAGCCUCCCAGUGUUUGGUGGCGUCACGAGUGUGAUAACUAUCUACGCUCGCGGUUGUCCACCAGGUAACCUUUGGUGACAAAGGUUCGCUGGAGCUCAUAGAUGUCUCUCCUCAGCGAGGACAGCUUUUUAACGUUCGAUCUCAAAUCAGGUAGGACUACCCGCUGAACUUAAGCAUAUCAAUAAGCGGAGGAA